AUGGGCGCAGCCUGAUCCAGCAUACCGCGUGUGUGAAGAAGGCCUGAGGGUUGUAAAGCACUUUCACUAGGGAGGAAAACCUGCCGGCCAAUACCCGGCAGCUUGACAUUACCUAUAGAAGAAGCACCGGCUAACUCCGUGCCAGCAGCCGCGGUAAAUACGGAGGGUGCGAGCGUUAAUCGGAAUUACUGGGCGUAAAGCGUGCGUAGGCGGUUCGUUAAGUCAGAUGUGAAGCCCCGGACUCAACCUGGGAACGGCAUUUGAAACGGCGG
rnacentral:rRNA from 1 species